AUUGAACGCUGGCGGCAGGCUUAACACAUGCAAGUCGAGCGGGGAAGGUAGCUUGCUACCGGACCUAGCGGCGGACGGGUGAGUAAUGCUUAGGAAUCUGCCUAUUAGUGGGGGACAACAUCUCGAAAGGGAUGCUAAUACCGCAUACGUCCUACGGGAGAAAGCAGGGGAUCUUCGGACCUUGCGCUAAUAGAUGAGCCUAAGUCGGAUUAGCUAGUUGGUGGGGUAAAGGCCUACCAAGGCGACGAUCUGUAGCGGGUCUGAGAGGAUGAUCCGCCACACUGGGACUGAGACACGGCCCAGACUCCUACGGGAGGCAGCAGUGGGGAAUAUUGGACAAUGGGGGGAACCCUGAUCCAGCCAUGCCGCGUGUGUGAAGAAGGCCUUAUGGUUGAAAAGCACUUUAAGCGAGGAGGAGGCUACUCUAGUUAAUACCUAGGGAUAGUGGACGUUACUCGCAGAAUAAGCACCGGCUAACUCUGUGCCAGCCGCCGCCGUAA
rnacentral:rRNA from 1 species